GAGCCUCUUCUGUAACUGAGGAAGCUAAUUCAUUUCUUUUUAGGUUUCUAGAGAAACUAGAAGUGUCUGAAAAUGCCAUGUUUUUAAAUCAAAUCUCAAUGAACCAGGGAGACAGAAUGACUGAAUAUUUUGGUAUUUUACUAGUGAUCUUGUGGCUUCAAUUCAUCUGGAUGAGCGGCCAGCAGAAGGAGGUGCAGCAGAGUCCCGAGUCCCACAGUGUUCCAGCUGGAGCCACUGCUUUUCUCAACUGCACUUUCAGGGACAGUGACUCUCGGAACUUCGCGUGGUACCGACAGUACCCUGGGAAAGGCCCUGAGCUGCUGAUAUCCAUAUACUCCAGUGGGGACAAGAAAGAAGGAAGAUUCACAGCGCAGCUCAGCACAGCCAGCAGGCAUUUCUCCCUGCACAUCCAAAGCUCCCAGCACCGUGACUCAGCCACCUACUUCUGUGCAGUGAGCACACAGUGCUCCCCAGGCACCUGCAGCCUGCACCCAAACCACAGGGGAACAGGCAUGGCCUCAGAGAUCAGAGGUGCAGAGCGAGUCCAAAUUUCUCAAGAAGGUAUCUAGAAGACUUCCUGAAAUAAAGGACUUUGUUGUUGUUGUUGUUUUUUUGUUUGUUUGUUUGUUUGACUAAAGACCUGCAUAGAUCAGCUUUCACAGACCACAUGGUAUUGUGGGGUGGUUUGGCAAUAAUUAGUGAGGAGACAUGGAGACACUGAAGAUCAUAGCAGUGUCUCCUUCCCUUGAUU